CUCCCAAGUGCCGGCAUUUUCGCUUGGCUCCCCACCACACACAAAACACAAACAAACACAGGAGCAAAGCCAAAGGCGACUUUGUUUUUUAAUGGCGGCUUGGCGAAAAUAAAACCACAGAACGAACCCAGUUUUCGGAUAUUUCAAAACAGGGUUCGAAAUUAUCCAAAAUCUUUUCUACUUUAGUUUGUUUUAUUUUACUAUUUCAAAAUAUUUUUUCCUCGAAACAGGAAGCAUAAAAUUUUGAAUCAUUAAGGAAAAUAAGUAAUAAAUUGUCAAAAUGAUUUUAAAGUUGAAACCUGGAAUUCGGAGAGCAAGAGACUAUAAUUUCGAGCGUGCGUAGUGCAUUUACAUAUAAAAUUCCUAUAAAAAUGUUAGCAUUUUUAUAGAAAUAUUUUAAG